rnacentral:rRNA from 1 species
UACGGAGGGUGCGAGCGUUAUCCGGAUUCACUGGGUUUAAAGGGUGCGUAGGUGGGAAUGUAAGUCAGUGGUGAAAUCUCUGAGCUUAACUCAGAAACUGCCAUUGAUACUAUGUUUCUUGAAUUUUUCUGGAGGUCAGCGGAAUAUGUCAUGUAGCGGUGAAAUGCUUAGAUAUGACAUAGAACACCAAUUGCGAAGGCAGCUGGCUACAGGGAUAUUGACACUGAGGCACGAAAGCGUGGGGGAUCAAACAGG